UGCAUGUGCAUAAUGAAACACCUGUUCUUGUCGCAGGUCCUGGCAUAUACAGGUAGAUACAACAAUAAAAUGCUCACUACUGUUUCACCAUGCGAGAAUGCAUGAGAAAAGUCAGGAAUCGAUCAAAAGAAUCAAAAUGCGUGCAUCGUAACGAAUCCCCGGUUCUUUAAAGUUUUAAUCGGUUCUAAAAUGAAACUGAUUCUUCAUACCCAACCCUAGACUCUGUCUUUGUUCACCAGUGGUCCCUUUUUUCCCUGUGACGGAGCAUGUUGUCAUUUUUUCUAAGGUGGAAAUGGAGUCCAUCACAGUUCUGAGUAACAUAAGUGUAUGGAAUUGAAACGACAUAAGGGUUGAUGAUGACAAGGUGAUGACACAAAGGAGCUUCCAUUGCCUUUAUUGCAACUAGGACUGACAAUAAUGUCUGCAAACCCUUCUCCAAAUAUUAAGUCUUAUUCUAUUACAACAUUGCCACCUGCCAGC